AACGCACAUUGCGCCCGCUAGUAUUCUGGCGGGCAUGCCUGUCUGAGCGUCAUUUCAACCCUCAUCCCCGGCUUCGUGGCGGGGGUGGUGUUGGGGAUCGGCCUCCCGAUUACGGGCGGCCGGCCCCGAAAUAGAGUGGCGACCACGCCGUAGCCUCCUCUGCGUAGUAGUGAAAACCUCGCAGGCGGAGAGCGGUGCGGCCUGCCGUUAAACCCCCAACUCUUCUUAAGGUUGACCUCAGAUCAGGUAGGAAUACCCGCUGAACUUAA
rnacentral:misc_RNA from 1 species